rnacentral:pre_miRNA from 1 species
UUUUUUAUUACUUCAUCCAAACAAUAACAUUUAAGAAUGAAAACAAUUGAAUUGAAUCAUUUGAAUUCCCUAUAAUUCUAAAUUCUUCAAAAUUUCUCAAUUACCUCAUCCAAACACACUCUAGGAAAAUGUUUUGAGGGAAUUCAAAUAUUUUGGGGUGAAUUCCAUUGUUUGGAUAAUAAUUUGAAG